rnacentral:lncRNA from 1 species
GGAUGGGAUGCUUGUUCUCUACCGAAGAGUGACAGAUGGGGACACUAUCACAACUGAUGUCCCAACUCUUGGGAGAAGCUAAGGGUUGAUAAUAACCAUGAAAAUGGCAAGACAACAGCAAGAGACUCAUCAAAAACCAAGUGAACCAAUGAUAAAUAAUUACAAAAGGAGACCCAAGUUGAACAAUUUGAAGCAUGGCAAGGAAAAAAGAUUUUAGAGAUGCUUACAUUUGGGGGGAGAUGAUCUAGGUGGUUGAAUUUAUCAUGUUGAGUUACAAGGCAUGACUUAAGGACACUGACUAAGUUGCUUAGUAUGAAUUUCAAAGAUGAGACAGUCAUCUAAUUUAAAUGGUUUUGAGGCAUGCUUUUAGAAGGUGGAACAAUCUAAAGUAGAUUUUACGAAGGUGAUUUGGGUUUAAUCAAUCUAAAAGUUCAUGUGAACAGUCAAAGGUUAUCAUUGUGACUUUGAAUUACUUUCUUCCAACAUAGAAUGUCUCCAUGGAGCAGCAUUGGAUGAUGCAUUCAUCAAAAGACUCAAAUAGGAGACUUAAGGUUGAGAUUAAGCUACUUAAUUUC